rnacentral:tRNA from 1 species
GGGCCCAUAGCUCAGCUGGUUAGAGCACCUGCCUUUUAAGCAGGGUGUCGUGGGUUCGAGCCCCACUGGGCCCUCCA